rnacentral:rRNA from 1 species
GACUAACGCUGGCAGUGUGCCUUACACAUGCAAGUCGAACGGGGGACUUCGGUCCCUAGUGGCAAACGGGUGAGUAAUGGAUAGGGAUCUACCGGGAAGAUGGGGAUACCCCCUCGAAAGAGGGAACAAUACCCAGUACGCUCCGCAAGGAGGAAAGGUGGUGUAAGCCACCGCUUUCCGACGAACCUAUCUCCUAUCAGCUAGUUGGUGAGGUAAUGGCUCACCAAGGCUAUGACGGGUAGCUGGUCUGAGAGGAUGAUCAGCCACACUGGAACUGAGACACGGUCCAGACUCCUACGGGUGCUG